GCUUACGGCCAUAUCAGCCUGGGUACGCCCGAUCUCGUCUGAUCUCGGAAGCUAAGCAGGGUCGGGCCUGGUUAGUACUUGGAUGGGAGACCGCCUGGGAAUACCAGGUGCUGUAAGGA
rnacentral:rRNA from 1 species